CAACAUUGAAGUGUAUUAACAUAGAACUCUAGAAGGCUUUAUAGAUACUCAUGAUAACAUCAGUCUGUGUUGUCUCUCCUUCAGGAUCAUAAUAUCACAAAGAACUGGAUUACCCUGGUGGAUAAGAAACUGAGCUGCACCAUCCUGUCCCUGACUGAGGCAGACAGUCAAACCUUCCACAUCACCGAAAGAACAUGGACACAAUGCAUUUGGGAUCAAGAAGAAGAUCUUCGCAGAAAUUAAUCAAGUCCAUGUAAUGGAUAUAGACAAAAAGAUAAUUCAAGGACUAUCAGAGGUAGAGAGGCGAGGCAGGGGUGAGGACAUCAUCCUUGCUAUUUUGACAGUCCCUAAAGGACAAUACAGAAGAGGACUCGAGACCACAGCAGCGAUCCUGCUCUUGCCCUACUUCUUCAAAGAGGACCAGAGUGGCCUUUGCACAAAUGAUCUGUUUCUUCAUAAACAUAGGUUUCACCGCUCUUCACUCCUUUACUGCACAUUGGCGGAAAUCCAUUUCACCAUGAGAGUGAAAUCCCGCUGGCCUUUGAUGGGGAGAACAUCCACGCCCUAGAGGACGUCCCCAUGGGACUUGGGGCUCUGUUAGGGCUGUAUUUUUUUUUUCCCCUUAAAAUUCCCAAAAAUGUCAGAAAAACACUUAUGUUCUUAAGUUACUGUGUUAAGACAAUUUGGGGUGAAGUUACCAGGGCCGGUCAUAAAGAUGACAAACUUCCUAACAUAACUAAGUGGUUGUUGGGCAAGUGGUUGUUAGACACACACACACACACACACACACACACACACACACACACACACACACUAAAGCUAAAAAAUCUGUAUUUAGCAAGUCUACAACCAUAAUAAAUAAUACAUUAACUUUGUAUAGUGCUUUUCAUUACAUUUAAAAUGUUUUUUUAAUAAUGAUGUACAAUAAAAACAACAUACAUUAAAAAUGAAUCAUAGGUAAACUAACAACUAGUAAACUAGCAAUUUUGUA
ensembl:lncRNA